CUGAAUUUAUUUCACUGAGUGAACCUUAGGGGUUAUUGGGAUGCACGGGAAUUAAUAGUAAACUCCACCGUGCCCUACUGUUGUUCCUCUAUUACGUAUCUUGCAAGCUCUGGCCAGAAAGUCGGGCUGGGGGACUUGUCAUCGAUGAUAAGCACAAUGAAAUUGUGCAUGUCCAAGCUGAAGUCGAUCCCAUGAGGGAGUUUAACUCGGUUGCGUAGUCUAAUUAUGACAGAUAAGAACAUCCACUAGCACUUCCACUAGCACAGUCCAGCUCCAAGCAUGCAACAGAAGAUUCUAGAUUUGCACCCAUGUUCCAUUGCAGGAAGAAGCUGUUCCUGCCGAUCCUAGGUCCUCUGACCAAGGUGCCAUCGAUACUUUGCAAGGACCCUGUUUUGAAACUAGCUCUAAUUCGCCAAUUUUGCUUACUUUCUUUACUUCCUCCUCGCUGGAGAGUGAUACAAUGUAAGAGUUGUAGUUCAGAAGGAAAAUAGGCCCGAUGAAUGAUAGGUUGCAAAUACUCGGGAGCAAGGUAUGCAAUGUUUCUCCCCCAAUUUAGUCCAAUGUGACACUGAUGACCACUAAGUUUUCAAGUUCCUUCCCCAACAUAAUAGUCUCUGGUGAUGGCGAGAUGGAGACCAUUGAUCUCUGAACAAUGAAUGCAACCUCAAGAGACUGUUCGGAGAAGAGGAGGGUCUCCUUGGCUGAUCAGGCUGCUUAUGUGUCUGACAAGUAGUUUUGUUAAUCUGCCAAUUAGGAGGAGCUUGCAAACUCUUGAGGGGGCAUUGGGAUGCGAUGUGUUCGCAUCUCCUGUGCAUGCAUAAGUACUAGCACUCUAAAGCCUGGUGUCCAACUUGGAAACAAUGUCCACAUACUACUUGUUGUCCAGGUAUCCUUGGCCUCUUUGUUCCGGUGACUUGUUUCAACCUUGUACAAUACACUGUCUGUUGUCUCUUCAAGGAGCUGAUAUGUUCUCUACGCUUUACUUGUAUCCACUCCAAGGUUUGGUCCUCCGGGGAAGAUGGCUGUUGAGAAUGCUCAUGUGAGGAUUAUGUGCUAACCGCCCGCACAUAGGAGGUGCCUAAGCGGACAAAACCUCACUAAGAGUGAGUGGUCCUCUCUAUUGGGACGCUGGGCACAACCUAGUCGAGAGGGAGGAGCCCUUCGAUUUGAGCCACUGCACAGGAUAUCGUAGUGGAGAGAGUCCAUAUCUUGCUUUUUUUUUUUAUUGAACACUACUGAACUCAAACUUCUUUUGUGUAGAAAAAUUUCUUGGUCAAGCCAUUCUUCUAACAUUAUUUCUGUAAUGUUUGUCAAAUUUUUCCAACUUUGACUAGAGAACUUUGACCAAGUUGGUUGAAUUUUUUUGACUACCAACAUGCUUCCCCACAUGCUUGGCUUUAUUACUGGAUUUCAUGGGUAUGAUUAAAGUUAAUCAUGCUUGGGUUGGCAUGAUUGGAGAUGAAUGAUUGUAAGGCAAAAAAAUCUCUUCAAAGCUUCAUUCUUCUUUUCCUUCUCUUGCAUAAAGCCAGUUUCUUUAUUGAAAAUCCUGACGUCUAAAAGUAGCCUUCUCCGGCAACUCUUCGGCAAGUGUAGAGGUAGGUCACUUUUCUUUUGUAGAUCGUUGAAGGCCUUGGUGUCAAAGUUGCAGCCUUGUUGUGAUGGUUAUUUGGUUCUGAUAUUUUGUUUUUAUUAUUUUCUUGCAAGCAAUCCAUAAAUGUUGACAUGUAUUCUGGUUCUGAGUUCUGAAGUAUAACUGUUGUGCUUUCUAUUUUGCUAUCAUGUCCAAGCAUGGAAAUCACAUCUUGGUUUAUUUUAUUCUCCUGGUUUCUUCUGCCUUUCAAUCGAGUUGUGUGAAUUCUUUGAAAGCCAUAUCUUUUGAAAUUCCAGCAUUAAGGUAUUUUUUGAAUAUGUGGAUAUAUAUAAUUGGUAUGAGAUUUUAAAUUUUGUUCAUCAUUUUGGUAUUUUGGAAAGCUUUUCCUGGUUUCAUGUUGAUAAGGAUGGUCUUAAAAUGCAUGUUCUCCUUUUUGUAUUAGUUGGUGAUAAUAAGGUAAUGUUGUGGUUCAGUGAGUGGAUGUUUAAAAAAUUAUAUUAUUAUCUUAUUUCUUAUUCAUCCUCUAAAAAUUUUCUGAUAUUUGUAAGUUCUGAAUUUUUAGUCGUGUGUGUUAGAGUUAUUGAUUUCUUAGAUUAACCCUAUUUAGGCCUCGAGCUUUAGUUAUGGGUUUGGUUCUGGCCCAAUAGCGUGUAAUCUAAGUUUAACUUCUUUUGAUUGGUUAGAUCCAGUCAGCAAACCCUAGUUGUGACAUCUAUUGAAUCCAACUUCUUAGCUCAGAGCCAGGUAGGCUCUCGCACCUAUUUAUUUCCGUAUUUCUGGCGAUUGUUAUUUACCUAAUUAUUGAAUUAUUUAGUUUAUUUACUUAUUUAUUUAUUUAUUUUAUUUACUUGUUCUUUAAUUAAUGUAUUUAAUUAUUUAAUUACAUUAUUUAUUUGUAUUUCUUGUCUGUAUUUCGUAUUUCUCCAGUUUUAGUACAUCUCCAUUCCUGGCUCACCCAGCUAGGAGGAGUAAGUCCUAGCCAUGUGCACAUGAAGAUCCGGCUGCGGUUGUUGAUAUUCUAUUCUGUUCUAUUCCGACUUCACAGUCGAAGAUCCAGCCUCGUGUUGUUGAUUUUUGUUAUUAGCCAAGGAGAUGUACACAAUAGUUUUCUGCGUGUUUUUAGUAUUUCUGGUUAUUUCUAUAUUCUGGGCAUUUACUAUAUUUCUGUGUAAAUUAUUAUGAUUAUUUUGCAUUAUCUGGAUUUUUUUUCUUUGAUCCUACUAGGCCCUUGUGGCUUAUGCACUCGCCCUUGUGGCUUAUGCACUCUGUGAAUUCCCUUUUCGCAGGAGAAGAUCAAGUCUAGGAUUGAGGUGUAUCUUGGAGUCGUAUUUCCUAUUAUCAUAUUAUCUUUGUAGUGAUCUUCUUUGUGUGAGUAAGAUUUGUAUUCUGUUGACAUAUUUCGAGUCCCUAGACUGUUUGUAUGACUCUGUAUCCUAUAGGGCUGCUAAAGCCCAUACUUGUAUUAUUUCAGUUUCCAUUAUCCUA